GAUCUCACCCUGACGCGAGAAUUGGCAAGUCCUGGCGCGGCUUACCUGGUGGCAAGAGGAACUUUGCAGAUUUGAUUUGGUUAAGGAGCCGGAGAUUGAAAGAUUGUCCUGGAUUAUUCGGGUGGAUGGAUCCUGUGUAAUUAUGAUGAUAAGAAGGAGGCAGGAGUGUCAAGUGUGAGAUGUGAUGACCAGAGCAGAGGUGAGAAAGAGAAAGAAGAAAAAAACAGAUUUGAAGAUGGAGGAAGGAACGAAGAUCCAAGGUAUAAAGGUACCCUCUAGAAGCUGGAAAGGAAGGAAAUAGAUUUUCCCAUAGAGCCUCCAAAGGAAUGCAGCUGCGCCAGCACCUUGAUUUCAUCUAACCUCCAAAACUCAUGCAUUCAGAUAUUUUCCUGGCCCAUCACUAUAGUAACUGGGAGAGAGUCCUCAUCCUGAAGGAGCUCAGAGGACACAAAAGCAGAAGCCUGAGAAGCAAGAGCCUACACAGAAGAAAGGAAAAUCUGAGAAACAUUUGAAAUUAAAAUAGUGUCCUUCAAUCAACCAUGAGUGAGGCCACACCAGUUCUAUUGACCAUGACUAUGUGAAGAUCAAUUUGACAAAGCCACUGACAUAUUUGCAGAAGUGAAGGCUUAAAGCAGAAAGCACAGUGGAGUUAUUCAUCACCAUCACCAUGGGGACCAAAAUAUUGGGAUUCUGUUUUACCUUGCUGAUUCAUUGUUGUUGAUUCUUUUAUAUUUUUAUUUUUCCUAAUAAAUCUUUUAUUUUUCUAAUUUUAUUUUAUUCUUUAUAGUUUGUUAGUGAUCUCUCUUUUUGGCUUGUUGCCCCCACCCCUUUUUUUUUUCUUUUUUCUGCUGUGGUUUUAUUUUACCUUAUUGCAGUUGUUUCAAUUAUAGUUUUAUUUUUCCUAAUAUAUUUUUUUAUCUUUCUGGUUUUAUUUUGUUUUUUACUCUUUGAUAUUGUACUGCUCUUUUUUCUGUCUUUCUUCUUUUUGUAUUUUUUUUUACCAUGCCAUGAAGCUUGCGGGAUCUUGGUUCCCAGGCUGGAGGUCGGGCUCGAGCUCCUAUGGUGGGAGCUCCAAGUCCAAACCGCUGGACUAACAGAGAACCUCAGACCUCAGGGAAUAUCAGUCGGAGUGAGGCCUCCCGGAGGUCCUCAUCUCAGCACCAAGACCCAGCUCUAUCUAACUGCCUGCAAACUCCAGUGCUGGACAUCUCAAGCCAAACAACGAGUAAGACAGGAAUACAGCACCACCCAUCCAAAAAAAAAUGAAAUGACAAAAAAAUAUGUUACAGAUGAAGCAAGGUAAAAACUUACAAGAUCAAAUAAAUGAAGGUGAAAUAGGCAACCUACCUGAAAAAGAAUUCAAAGUAAUGAUAGUAAAGAUGAUCCAAAUGUACUAAAUAGCAACGAGAUCACUGAAGAAAUCAAAGAGGAAAUCAAAAAACACCUAGAAACAAAUCACAAUGAAAACACGAUGACCCAAAACCUAUGGGAUGCAGCAAAAGCAGUUCUAAGAGGGAAGUUUAUAGCAAUACAGUCUUACCUCAAGAAACAAGAAAAAUCUCAAAUAAACAACCUAACCUUACACCUAAAGCAAUUAGAGAAAGAAGAACAAAAAAACCCCAAAGUUACCAGAAGGAAAGAAAUCAUAAAGAUCAGAUCAGAAAUAAAUGAAAAAGAAAUGAAGGAAACAAUAGCAAAGAUCAAUAAAACUAAAAACUGGUUCUUUGAGAAGAUAAACAAAAUUGAUAAACCAUUAGCCAGACUCAUCAAGAAAAAAAGGGAGAACUCAAAUCAACAGAAUUAGAAAUGAAAAAGGAGAAAUAACAAUUGACACUGCAGAAACACAAAGGAUCAUGAGAAAUUACUACAAGCAACUAUAUGCCAAUAAAAUGGACCACCUGAAAGAAAGGGACAAAUUCUUAGAAAAGCAAAACCUUCCUAGGCUGAACCAGGAAGAAAUAGAAAAUAUAAACAAACCAAUCACAACCACUGAAAUUAAAACUGUGAUUAAAUAUCUUCCAACAAACAAAAGCCCAGGACCAGAUGGCUUCACAGGCGAAUUCUAUCAAACAUUUAGAGAAGAGCUAACACCUGUCCUUCUCAAACUCUUCCAAAAUAUAGCAAUGGGAGGAACACUCCCAAACUCAUUCUACGAGGCCACCAUCACCCUGAUACCAAAACCAGACAAAGAUGUCACAAAAAAAGAAAAUUACAGGCCAAUAUCUCUGAUGAACAUAGAUGUAAAAAUCCUCAACAAAGUCUAGCAAACAGAAUCCAACAGCACAUUAAAAGGAUCAUACACCAUGAUCAAGUGGGGUUUAUCCCAGGAAUGCAAGGAUUCUUCAAUAUAUGCAAAUCGAUCAAUGUGAUACACCAUAUUAACAAAUUGAAGAUAAAAACAAUAUGAUAAUCUCAAUAGAUGUAGAAAAAGCUUUUGACAAAAUUCAACACCCAUGUAUGAAAAAACUCUCCAGAAAGAAGGCAUAGAGGGAACCUACCUCAACAUAAUAAAGGCCAUAUAUGACAAACCCACAGCCGACAUCAUUUUCAAUGGUGAAAAACUGAAAUCAUUUCCUCUAAGAUCAGGAACAAGACAAGGUUGCACGCUCUCACCACUAUUAUUCAACAUAGUUUUGGAAGUUUUAGCCACAGCAAUCAGAGAAGAAAAAGAAAUAAAAGGAAUCCACAUCGGAAAAGAAGAAGUAAAACUGUCACUGUUUGCAGAUGACAUGAUACUAUACAUAGAGAAUCCUAAAGAUGCUAUCAGAAAACUACUGGAGCUAAUCAAUGAAUUUGGUAGGGCAGCAGGAUACAAAAUUAAUGCACAGAAAUCUCUUGCAUUCCUAUACACUAAUGAUGAAAAACCUGAAAGAGAAAUUAAGGAAACACUCCCAUUUACCACUUGCAAGAAAAAGAAUAAAAUACCUAGGAAUAAACCUACUUAAGGAGACAAAAGACCUGUAUGCAGAAAACUAUAAGACACGGAUGAAAGAAAUUAAAGAUACAAACAGAUGGAGAGAUAUACUAUGUUCUUGGAUUGGAAGAAUCAACAUUGUGAAAAAUGACUAUACUACCCAAAGCAAUCUACAGAUUCAAUGCAAUCCCAAUGAAACUGCCAAUGGCAUUUUUCACAGAACUAUAACAAAAAAUUUGACAAUUUGUAUGGAAACACAAAAGACCCUGAAUAGCCAAACCAAUGCUGAGAAAGAAAAACAGAGCUGGAGGAAUCUGACUCCUGGAUCUCAGACUAUACUGCAAAGCUACAGUAAUCAAGUAAUUGAUUGCCAGUACAAUGAAUCAUUGUACUGGCAGAAAAGCAGCAAUAUAGAUCAAUGGAACAGGAUAAAAAGCCCAGAGAUAAACCCACACACAAAUGGUCACCUUAUCUUUGAUAAAGGAGGCAAGAAUAUACAAUGGAGAAAAGACAGCCUCUUCAAUAAGUGGUGCUGGGAAAACUGGACAGCUACAUGUAAAAGAAUGAAAUUAGAACACUCCCUAACACCAUACACAAAAAUAAACUCAAAAUGGAUUAAAGACCUAAAUGUAAGGCCAGACACUAUAAAACUCUUAGAGGAAAACAUAGGCGGAACACUCUAUGACAUCAAUCACAGCAAGAUCCUUUUUGACCCACCCCCUAGAGAAAUGGAAAUAAACAAAUGAGACCUAAUGAAAUUUAAAAGCUUUUGCACAACAAAGGAAACCAUAAACAAGAGAAAAAGACAACCCUCAGAUGGGAGAAAAUAUUUGCAAGUGAAGAAACUGACAGAGGAUUAAUCUCCAAAAUAUACAAGCAGCUCAUGCAGCUCAAUAUCAAAAAAACAAAUAACCCAAUCCAAAAAUGGGCAGAAGACCUAAAUAGACAUUUCUCCAAAGAAGAUAUACAGAUUGCCAAGAAACACAUGAAACAUCACUAAUCAUUAGAGAAAUGCAAAUCAAAACUACAAUGUGGUAUCACCUCAUACCAGUCAGAAUGCAUCAUUAAAAAAUCUACAAACAAAUAAAUCUACAAACAAUAAAUGCUGGAGAGGGUGUGGAGAAAAGGGAAGCCUCUUGCACUGUUGGUGGGAAUGUAAAUUGAUACAGCCACUAUGGAGAGCAGUAUGGAAGUUCCUUAAAAAACUAAAAAUAGAACUACCAUACAACCUAGCAAUCUCACUACUGCACAUAUACCCUGAGAAAACCAUAAUUCAAAAAGAGUCAUGUACCACAAUGUUCAUUGCAGCUCUAUUUACAAUAGCCAGGACAUGGAAGCAAUCUAAGUAUCCAUCAACAAAACAGAUGCAUGGAUAAAGAAGAUGUGGCACAUAUAUACAAUGGAACAUUACUCAGCCAUAAAAAGAAACGAAAUUGAGUUAUUUGUAGUGAGGUGGAAGGACCUAGAGUCUGUCAUACAGAGUGAAGUAAGUCAGAAAGAGAAAAACAAAUACCGUAUGCUAACACGUAUAUAUGGAAUCUAAAAAGAAGAAAUGGUUCUGAUGAAUCUAAGGGCAAGAAAGGAAUAAAGACACAGACCUUGAAAAUGGACUUGAGGACACGGGGAGGGGAAAGGGUAAGCUGGGACGAAGUGAGAGAGUAGCAUUGACAUAUAUACACUACGAAAUGUAAAAUAGAUAGCUAGUGGGAAACAGCUGCAUGGCACAGGGAGAUCAGCUCCGUGCUUUGCGACCACCUAGAGGGGUGGGAUAAGGAGGGUGGGAGGGAGAUGCAAGAGGGAGGGGAUAUAGGGAUAUAUGUAUGCAUAUGCUGAUUCACUUUGUUGUACAGCAGAAACUAACAUAACACUGUAAAGCAAUUAUACUCCAAUAAAGAUGUUAAAAAAUGAAAGAAACAUUAUUUUUAAACUAAUAUUAAAAUGCCUGAGUGACAUGU